AGUGAACGCUGGCGGCAGGCCUAACACAUGCAAGUCGAGCGGCAGCACGGGGAGCAAUCCCUGGUGGCGAGCGGCGGACGGGUGAGGAAUACAUCGGAAUCUACCUCGUCGUGGGGGAUAACGUAGGGAAACUUACGCUAAUACCGCAUACGACCGAGAGGUGAAAGCGGGGGAUCGCAAGACCUCGCGCGAUGAGAUGAGCCGAUGUCGGAUUAGCUUGUUGGCGGGGUAACGGCCCACCAAGGCGACGAUCCGUAGCUGGUCUGAGAGGAUGAUCAGCCACACUGGAACUGAGACACGGUCCAGACUCCUACGGGAGGCAGCAGUGGGGAAUAUUGGACAAUGGGGGCAACCCUGAUCCAGCCAUGCCGCGUGGGUGAAGAAGGCCUUCGGGUUGUAAAGCCCUUUUGUUGGGAAAGAAAUCGUGCGGGUGAAUAUCCUGCGCGGAUGACGGUACCCAAAGAAUAAGCACCGGCUAACUUCGUG
rnacentral:rRNA from 1 species